rnacentral:tRNA from 1 species
ACAUUGGCGGUUCAGUGGUAGAAUUCUCAUCUUCGGUGUGGGAGACCUGGGUUUGAUUCUUGGCUGAUGCA